rnacentral:lncRNA from 1 species
AGUAUGACUGGUGUCUUUAUAGGAAGAGGACGAGACCCCAGGGACACACGUGCACAGAGAAAAGGCCAUGGGAGGAUACAGCAAGAAGGCAGCCAUUCGCAUUUCAGAGAGACUCAGAAGAAACCAGCUCUGCCCACACCUUGAUCUCAGCCUUCCAGCCUCCAGGACUUUGAGAAGCUCUGCUCACAAACAACGACCCCAGGCCUCCCUCCAGACCCUGAGACCACAGCCCUCUGUAGACUUCCUCCCAGCUUCUCCUUUGCUGCGCCAUCACGGCAGCAGGCUCCCACCACAAAGACCUGCCACAGCUCCAGCCUCCACUGGAUGACUCCACUCUGGACCCAGAUGAUUAGUUUCACAUGAAAUUGUAAGAAGGAAUACAGAGAGCAGCCACGUACGCUUUCCCUAGUUUCCUGAAAUGGUAACAUUUUGCAAAAUUCCGGUGGACUAUCACAACCAGGUUCUUGACGUUGAUGCAGUCCACAGGCUUUAUCCCGAUUGGCCCAGUUGUACUUGGACUCCUUUGUAUGUGUGCCUGUGUAUUUGGUUCUUUGCAAUCUCAUCUGUGUAGGUUAGCAUUCCCUCUGCCCCUCCACCCCACAGUGGAGAUAAAGAACAAUUCCAUCCCCACAAGGAUCCAUCCAAUUGCUUUUUUAUAACCCCGCCUACCUCCCUCUCAACUCACUCAUUCUCUCUCCUCCCUAACCCCUGGCAACCUCUAACCUGUUCUCCGUUCUAUAAUUUUGUCAUUUCAAGAAGGUUAUGCACCAUUUGGAUUGGCUUUUGUCACUCAGCAUAAUUCUCUGGGAUUCCUCCAGCUGUUGCCUGUAUCAAUAGUUUGUUUCUUCUUAUUACUAAGUGGUACGCGAUGGCAUGGAUGUAUCACAGUCUGUUUAACUAUUU